CGCCCUGUCGAUUAGUAGUGAGCCACUGCAUUUCAGUUGCCAUAAAAAAGCUAAAGCUCAAAACCGUGCUUAGAAAUAGAAAGCUAAAUUAUCCGCUCGACGCGCCAUCUUCUGGUCGGUAUUCACAACAGUUAGGCUUCUUACGAUUUUGCAUCGUGAUGAGAUCCACACUUGAACUCAUUUAAUUUUUGUAAUAAGCUGAUCGGGGUUGCAAAAAGAGGCGUAUAAAAAAAUGUUACCUUGUCCUUGAAAUUUUGCACAAAAGCCCACCAGCUAGGGUGUAUGAGAUGGGGUGCAACACACACAACUGCCGGUGGCUAAGCCAUCAUUUGGCGCGGGUUAGAUUGGGGGGAUCGUAGCUAGUCUAGUCGGCUAUCGUAAGUCACUUUGGUGAAAUCCGUUCAGCGAAUAACAUCGAGCUCGACCGCACUUGAAGGCUCAAUCAGCAAUAGAGCUAUAAGGCUACUCUAGUGCACAGUUAGUGUGGCUUCGAAAAUUGCACUAGCAAACUUGCAUUGACCCUAAGUCGAGUGAGGUUUUUUAUUCGCUGUGAGCAAUUUAAGCUAACUCAGCAGGCAACCCACUGUUCAACGUGGGUGUUUGUUGGGGCUUAUUUCGCUGCCAAUCUCGGGGCCAAGAAGACGGUAUCCACAACGGUGGUUUGGAGUGGAACACGUGCUACAACCGUAGUAUUGUUGCCAAUAUUAGGAGAGCUCGAACACGGUGCACGAUCAACACACCGGUCUCCAUGCGGUUCCGCCGAGCCCGUCGAUUGAAGGCUUCACCACCGCUAAGCCAUCCGAGAAUCAACCACUGCCACGUGUUGGAAAAGCCAUCGUACUAGUUAAGUACGAGUCGUGUUUUGGCGCGUUAGCUGAGACACCAACCACAUGGUCGCCUCUGGUUAUUAGUUGGAGGUUGGAAUCUACCGAUGCGUAAUUUGGUUUGCUGAAUCGAAAAGGUCAGAUUAGAUUAAGACACUUGUGAAUAAUCUUAAGAGCUAUUAUGAUUAGUGACGUCACUCAGGGCUACAGGAACACAAUGAACGCUACAAUUAAACAUAUUGUGUUAGCUCAAUUGAAAGUCGUGUGUUGAAAUUGGUGGGAAGCGUUGACGGUUUCAUUGAUUUGGUUUGCGUGGGAGUAAGAUUUUGAUUUGUCCGCAUAGUUGUGGGUUGUGCAAUUCAUCUCAUACUUGUUUAAAAAAGUUAGGGCCGCAACUCGAUUGGUAAGUUGGGAAGAUUAAGUGGGACUGAGUGUUAAAACUGUUAGCCCGCCUUGAAUCAGAGUCUCUAGCCGGGACGCAAAUCGCGCACCAACAGCCUCUCGGUUUCCGGGAGUGGCGCUAUAAGCUGUUGGCUGUUUCGGGAACUAAAACAUUCGUUACAAA